AUAAAAAUAUAAAUUUUAAUAUUUUCUGUUUUGUAUAAGACUCCUUAUAAGAAAUAUUAUGUUUUAUCGAGCUCCGGCAACACCGCAUCUGUCCGACGUUGUUUAACUCCACACCGGCCCUGUGUGCUGUCACCUAAUCCAUCUGUGUGUUGCUCUUCUACACUUCUAUGCAUGCAAAACAUUUCAAAGUAGAUCAAUCUGCGAUACUUGAAAACGCAUGUCAAGUUACCCGUGUAUUUAUCAAUUGUUAAAAUGUCCUGCCAUUGAGAAUUUAACCCAUCGAAGUGAUAAAAGGAACAGGAAUAAGUGAAUCGUGUUGUUUACAUCCCGAUUUGUUGAUCAAAUAAACUUGAAAAAUGACCGUGAAAGAGAAUUAUUUAUCGGUAACUAGCAGUCGGUCGCCAUCUUUUAAGUGACUUUACUCUUCCGAUUGAACUUUUAAAUAAUAUUUUGACAGGGUAAUGAAAUCGGUUUAGUGAGUUUUCGUGGACAGUUUUAUAGUGCAAGAAUUUCCUUUUGGUUUAGUAAGGACGGCGGCCCGCAGACCCAAAAGGUCCAGGCCUCCAUUCCAUACAGCAGCACGGAAAACAGAUAAUAGCGCUCGGAUGGGGAGUAAAAGGGCUUGGUACCAUGGCAGAUAACCGCUGUUAUUCUGGAGGCGGUAAGUGUUUUUUCAUCUCUGCCUACAUGAUUUAAGUAUUGGUAAGUUUUGUGGUGUGCUUUAUUAUUAUAUUACAUAUAAUAUUUCUUCCCGUUUCGUCCACUGUUAAGACGAUAUACGUCAAUGACGAUACAACAAAGACCUAUAGAACGGACAAGUAGAACCAAGAGCUUCAUACUAAAGAUGACUGCUCGCAUAUCAUUUUUUUCAAGAAUUUUUUCCUCAGAACCUUUAUUAAAAACGAAC
rnacentral:lncRNA from 1 species